GACGAACGCUGGCGGCGUGCCUAACACAUGCAAGUCGAACGGAACGGCCUUGAUUGCUUUCUUCGGAAUGGAUUCGAUUUAGUUUAGUGGCGGAGGGGUACGUAACUCGUGAGUAACCUGCCUUCAAGAGGGGAAGAGCAUUCUGAAAAGAAUGCUAAUACCGCAGGACAUAUGGGAACCACAUGGUUUUGGUAUCAAAUAUUUUAUCGCUUGAAGAUGGGCUCGCGUCGGUUUAGUUAGUUGGUGAGGUAACGGCUCACCCAGACGGCGAUCGGUGGCCGGACUGGGAGGUUGGACGGCCACGUUGGGACUGAGACACGGCCCAGACUCCUGCGGGAGGCAGCAGUGGGGGAUAUUGCGCAAUGGGGGCAAGCCUGACGCAGCAACGCCGCGUGAAGGAGGACGGUUUUCGGAUUGUAAACUUCUUUUAUUAAGGACGAAAAAUGACGGUACUUAAUGAAUAAGCACCGGCUAACUACGUG
rnacentral:rRNA from 1 species